AGUGAACGCUGGCGGUAGGCCUAACACAUGCCAGUCGAACGGCAGCACAGUAAGAGCUUGCUCUUACGGGUGGCGAGUGGCGGACGGGUGAGGAAUACAUCGGAAUCUACUUUUUCGUGGGGGAUAACGUAGGGAAACUUACGCUAAUACCGCAUACGACCUACGGGUGAAAGCAGGGGAUCUUCGGACCUUGCGCGAUUGAAUGAGCCGAUGUCGGAUUAGCUAGUUGGCGGGGUAAAGGCCCACCAAGGCGACGAUCCGUAGCUGGUCUGAGAGGAUGAUCAGCCACACUGGAACUGAGACACGGUCCAGACUCCUACGGGAGGCAGCAGUGGGGAAUAUUGGGCAAUAGGCGCAAGCCUGAUCCAGCCAUACCGCGUGGGUGAAGAAGGCCUUCGGGUUGUAAAGCCCUUUUGUCGGGAAAGAAAAGCAGCAGGUUAAUACCCCGCUGUUCUGACGGUACCCAAUGAAUAAGCACCGGCUAACUUCGUG
rnacentral:rRNA from 1 species